GGCGGUGUAGCUCAGUUGGUUAGAGCAGCGGAAUCAUAAUCCGCGUGUAGGGGGUUCGAGUCCCUGCACCGCUA
rnacentral:tRNA from 1 species